rnacentral:ribozyme from 1 species
UGCCCAGUAACUCCUGUCCCUACCUCCUCAUGGUACUGGCCGGGGUACGAGUAACAUUGGGGAAGAUCUGGUAACCUGAGAGAGAGG